rnacentral:rRNA from 1 species
UGAGGAAUAUUGGACAAUGGGUGCAAGCCUGAUCCAGCCAUGCCGCGUGUGUGAAGAAGGUCUUCGGAUUGUAAAGCACUUUAAGUUGGGAGGAAGGGCAGUUACCUAAUACGUGAUUGUUUUGACGUUACCGACAGAAUAAGCACCGGCUAACUCUGUGCCAGCAGCCGCGGUAAUACAGAGGGUGCAAGCGUUAAUCGGAAUUACUGGGCGUAAAGCGCGCGUAGGUGGUUAGUUAAGUUGGAUGUGAAAUCCCCGGGCUCAACCUGGGAACUGCAUUCAAAACUGACUGACUAGAGUAUGGUAGAGGGUGGUGGAAUUUCCUGUGUAGCGGUGAAAUGCGUAGAUAUAGGAAGGAACACCAGUGGCGAAGGCGACCACCUGGACUGAUACUGACACUGAGGUGCGAAAGCGUGGGGAGCAAACAGGAUUAGAUACCCCCGUAGUCCCUGAGCGGGCUGGCAAGGCGCAU